rnacentral:rRNA from 1 species
CCUACGGGCGGCAGCAGUAGGGAAUCUUGCUCAAUGGGGGAAACCCUGAAGCAGCAACGCCGCGUGGAGGAUGAAGGUUUUCGGAUUGUAAACUCCUUUUGUUAGAGAAGAUAAUGACGGUAUCUAACGAAUAAGCACCGGCUAACUCCGUGCCAGCAGCCGCGGUAAUACGGAGGGUGCAAGCGUUACUCGGAAUCACUGGGCGUAAAGAGCGCGUAGGCGGGAUAGCAAGUCAGAUGUGAAAUCCUAUGGCUUAACCAUAGAACUGCAUUUGAAACUGUUAUUCUAGAGUAUGGGAGAGGUAGGUGGAAUUCUUGGGGUAGGGGUAAAAUGCGUAGAGAUCAAGAGGAAUACUCAUUGCGAAGGCGACCUGCUAGACCAUAACUGACGCUGAUGCGCGAAAGCGUGGGGAGCAAACAGGAUUAGAUACCCUUGUAGUC